rnacentral:lncRNA from 1 species
GCAUGUUUCUACCACCACUUUUGCACACCCUUGGAGCACCACCUCGGCAUCCACAUCAACAUCAGCUGGCCACCUCACCACCACUCCAACCAAUGGAAGCACGCCAACCAAGAUGAAGUCAAGCAUAAGGAGCCGACCACAUCAUCUCAUCAAAGAAACCAAUGCAACGUCAUGCCACCUCAUCAGAAGAACCAAUCACUAUGCAACAUGCUAUGUGACACCUAUUGGGACGCCACCUCAACACCAUAUCAGCAAUCAUCUCAACCAGACGCCACCUCAACACCACAUCAGCAAUCAUCUUAACCAAGAGGAUAAUGCCAAAUGGAAGAGUCAAAAUCAAAAGAACCAAUCACCAUGCCACCUCAUACAAGUUGACACGUCACCCAAAUUCAAAGUCCAAGAGGUCGGCCACAAUUUAAAUACAAGAAAAUUUCAAAUGGGAGCCAACAACUUUUCAAAUCCUCCCCCUUAAAGCCGUCC